rnacentral:rRNA from 1 species
GACGAACGCUGGCGGCGUGCUUAACACAUGCAAGUCGAACGGUAAGGCCCUUCGGGGUACACGAGUGGCGAACGGGUGAGUAACACGUGGGUGAUCUGCCCUGCACUUCGGGAUAAGCCUGGGAAACUGGGUCUAAUACCGGAUAGGACUCCGGACUGCAUGGUCUGGGGUGGAAAGCUUUUGCGGUGUGGGAUGGGCCCGCGGCCUAUCAGCUUGUGGGUGGGGGGGUGGCCUACCAAGGAGCCGACGGGUCGCCGGCCGGAGAGGGGGACCGGCCACACUGGGAUGGAGCAACGCCCCAGACUCCUACGGGAGGCAGAGGGGGGAAAUAUUGCAAAAUGGGCGAAAGCCUGAUGCAGCGCCGCCGCGUGAGGGAUGACGGCCUUGGGUUUGUAAACCUCUUUCAGCAUCGACGAAGCGAAAGGGACGGUGGUGCAGAAGAAGGACCGGCCAACUACGUGCCAGCAGCCGCCGUAA